rnacentral:rRNA from 1 species
GCUGACUAAUGCCUACCGAUCUGCUUGGUAAUGAGAGACAACGUUUCCAACGGAUCGCUAGUACCGGCCUACUUUCUACUGUAUAUAGCCGUGACCUUCGCGUCUUGCGCUCUCUAAUGAUCCUACGUCCCAUUACCCUUCUUGCUGCGGUAUUGUCUCCCCCAUGCUACGAUCCAUACCUGGUCGGAGAAGGUGAUCCGUCACUCUGGCACUGAGCCAUAGCCCACACUCAUACGGGAGGCUGUCGAGGCGAAUAUUCAACACUGGGCGCUAUCCUGCCUCAGCCAUGACCCAUGUUAUAAAAAGGUCUUCGGAUUGUAAAGCACUUUAAGUUGGGACGAAUGGUUGUAAAUUAAUACUCUGCAUUUUUGACUUUACCGACACAAUAACCACCGGCUAACUCUGUGCCAGCAGCCGCGGUAAUACAGAGGGUGCAAGCUUUAAUCUUAAUUACUGGGCGUAAAGCGCGCGGAUGUGGUUCGUUAAUUUGGAUGUGAAAUCCCCGGGCUCAACCUGGGAACUGCAUUCAAAACUGUCGAGGUAGAGUAUGGUAGAGGGUGGUGGAAUUUCCUGUGUUGCGGUGAAAUGCGUAGAUAUAGGAAGGAACUCCAGUGGUGAAGGCGUCCACAUGGACUUAUCACUCACACUGAGGUGUGAAAGAGUGGGGAGCAAACAGGAUUAGAUACCAUGGUAGUCCACGCGGUAAACGAUGUCAAUUAGCGGUUGGGAGCCGUGAGCUCUUAGUGGAGCAGUUAAGGCAAUAAGUUGCCCGCUUGGGGAGUACGGCGGCAAGGUUAAAACUCAAAUGAAUUGAUGGGGGCCCGCACAAGUGGUAGAGCAUGUGUUUUAAUUUGAAGCAACUCGAAGAACCUUACCAGGCCUUGACAUCCAAUGACCUUUCCAGAGAUGGAUGGGUGCCUUGGGGAACAUUGAGACCGGUGUUGCAUGGUUGUCGUCAGCUCGUGUCGUGAGAGUUUGGGUUAAGUCUCGUAACGAGCGCAACCCUUGUCCUUAUUUACCCGCAUGUUAUUGUGGGCACUGUAAAGAGAUUACCGCUGACAAACCGUAGUAAGAUGGGGAGGACGUCAAGUCAUCAUGGCCCUUAGGUCCCGGGCUACACACGUGAUACAAUGGUCGGUACAAAGGGUCGCCAAGCCGCGAGGUGCACCUAAUCCCAUAAAACCCAUCGUAAUUCCUAUCCCAUUCUCCAACUA